UACGUAGGGUGCAAGCGUUAAUCGGAAUUACUGGGCGUAAAGCGUGCGCAGGCGGUUUCGUAAGACAGAUGUGAAAUCCCCGGGCUCAACCUGGGAACUGCAUUUGUGACUGCGAGGCUAGAGUGUGUCAGAGGGGGGUGGAAUUCCACGUGUAGCAGUGAAAUGCGUAGAGAUGUGGAGGAACACCGAUGGCGAAGGCAGCCCCCUGGGAUAACACUGACGCUCAGGCACGAAAGCGUGGGGAGCAAACAGG
rnacentral:rRNA from 1 species